rnacentral:lncRNA from 1 species
CAAUGAAUUAGGUCCAAGGUGACCUAUAAUGUUUUGUAUUAUCACAUGUAUUUAUUUUAGGAUUAUGAAUUUUUGUACAACAUAAAAUUUGAAGUAGACACCUCAAUAUUUCCAAUUCAUUUGGUCUUACCUCAAAAUCUUAAAAAUUAAGGAAGUUAUUUCCUUGGUAAGUUGACCUAAAAUUAGGGUUUUAGUCAAAAUGACCUAUAAUGUUUUGAAAUGAAUGAUGACCUUACAAGUUUCAAAUGUAUUUGUUAUGAACAUGAAAGUUG